GAAUGAUUCUCAAGUAGGAUUCAAUGAUUCAAUCUUAGGAUUCAAUAAUUGAAUCCUAAGAUUAAAUCAUUGAGUCCUACUUGAGAAUC